GAGGGUGCAGCCAUUUGGAAAGGUCUCAUCCAUGCACUCCCAUCAGGGCUACAAGUUUGAAAAGAAUGACUUGCAUCUGUCCACACCAGGUACUAAAAGAUCUUCUGCUCUGAGCUCAACUAACUAGACUGAUUCGUCCCAUUGUUACUUCUUGACUUUGUUUAAUGUAUGACCUUUUGGACAAGAAAUAAAAAGAAAAAAAUCCUUGAUCUUUG